AAAGGGAUUCCCUAGUACGGCGAGUGAAGCGGGAAGAGCUCAAAUUUGAAAUCUGGUGGCCUCAGGUCAUCCGAGUUGUAAUCUAUAGAAGUGUUUUCCGUGCUGGCUCAUGUACAAGUCCCUUGGAACAGGGCGUCAUAGAGGGUGAGAAUCCCGUCCUUGACAUGAACUACCAGUGCUCUGUGAUACAUUUUCAACGAGUCGAGUUGUUUGGGAAUGCAGCUCAAAAUGGGUGGUAAAUUCCAUCUAAAGCUAAAUAUUGGCGAGAGACCGAUAGCGAACAAGUACCGUGAGGGAAAGAUGAAAAGCACUUUGGAAAGAGAGUUAAACAGUAUGUGAAAUUGUUGAAAGGGAAACGAUUGAAGUCAGUCGUGCUCUUUGGAUUCAGCCGGUUCUGCCGGUGUACUUCCUUUGAGUGGGGUCAACAUCAGUUUUGAUCGCUGGAUAAAGGCUGGAGGAACGUAGUACCCUCGGGUAAACUUAUAGCCUCCAGUCACAUACAGUGGUUGGGACUGAGGAACGCAGCACGCCUUUAUGGCCGGGAUUCGUCCACGUACGUGCUUAGGAUGUUGACAUAAUGGCUUUAAACGACCCGUCUUGAAACCACGGAC
rnacentral:rRNA from 1 species